rnacentral:rRNA from 1 species
AGCUGGUUCUCCUCGAAAUAGCUUUAGGGCUAGCCUCAUGGAUCAUUGGUGGGGGUAGAGCACUGAAUGUGCGCGGGGGCCACAAAGCCUACCAAACGCUAUCAAACUUCGAAUACCAUACAAUGCAGACCAUGGGAGUCAGUCCGCGAGAGAUAAGUUCCGCGGGCAAAAGGGGAACACCCCAGAUCAACCGCUAAGGUCCCCAAGUUCACGUUAAGUGGAGAAGGAUGUGGAAUUGCACAGACAACCAGGAUGUUGGCUCAGAAGCAGCCACACAUUUAAAGAGUGCGUAAUAGCUCACUGGUCGAGUGAUUGUGCGCCGAAGAUGUCCGGGGCUAAACGUGACACCGAAGCGAUGGGUGCAUCUGAAAGGAUGCGCGGUAGAGGAGCAAUGUGCAGAGGCAGAAGCCGUAUCGAGAGGCACGGUGGACACUGCACAAGAGAGAAUGCCGGUAUGAGUAGCGAGAGGCAUGCGAGAAACAUGCCCGUCGAAAGCCCAAGGUUUCCUGGGGAAGGUUCAUCCGCCCAGGGUAAGUCGGGGCCUAAGCCGAGGACGGAAGUCGUAGGCGAUGGACAGCAGGUGUAGAUUCCUGCACUACCGAUGGAAUGAAGCAGUGACACAGAAGGAUAACUCGAGCAGGGUGAUGGUCAACCCUGUGCAAGCAUUGAGGUUGGGUUGUAGUGAAGUACGCAAUCCUAUAAGCUGAGGUGUGAUGCGGACCGAAAUUUCAGUAGGGAAGCGAGUGAGUUCACGCUGGCGAGAAAAGCUGCUAGUACAUCCAAAGGUACCCGUACCGGAAACCGACGCAGGUGGGCGAGGAGAGAAUCCUGAGACGAACGGGAGAACCCUUGUUAAGGAACUCGGCAAAAUGACCCCGUAACUUCGGGAUAAGGGGUGCCUGCGAGAGCAGGCCGCAGAGAAUAGUCACAAGCGACUGUUUAGCAAAAACACAGGUAUCUGCGAAAGCGAGAGCUGACGUAUAGGUGCUGACACCUGCCCGGUGCUGGAAGGUUAAGGGAACAUGUUAGAGCAAUCGAAGCAUCGAACCGAAGCCCCAGUAAACGGCGGCCGUAACUAUAACGGUCCUAAGGUAGCGAAAUUCCUUGUCGGGUAAGUUCCGACCCGCACGAAUGGUGUAACGACUUGUGAGCUGUCUCAACAGGGGGCCCGGUGAAAUUGAAGUAUGUGUGAAGAUGCACAUUACCCGCGACUGGACGGAGAGACCCCGUAGAGCUUUACUGCAGCCUGAUAUUGAGUUUCGGUAACUGAUGCACAGGAUAGGUGGGAGUCUGAGAGACAUGGGUUUCGGCUCAUGUGGAGACGGUGUUGGGAUACCACUCUUCGGUUACUGAAAUUCUAACAUAGCUCUGUGAAACCAGAGGAUGGACAGUGUCAGGUGGACAGUUUGACUGGGGCGGUCGCCUCCGAAAGAGUAACGGAGGCGCCCAAAGGUACCCUCAGAAUGGAUGGAAACCAUUCGAAGAGCGCAAAGGCAGAAGGGUGCCUGACUGCGAGAUUGACAAAUCGAGCAGAGACGAAAGUCGGGCUUAGUGAUCCGGCGGUAUUGAGUGGAAAAGCCGUCGCUUAACGGAUAAAAGCUACCUCGGGGAUAACAGG